GGUGUAUUUAUUAGAUAAAAAACCAAUGCCCUUCGGGGCUCUUUGGUGAUUCAUGAUAACUCAACGAAUCGCAUGGCCUUGCGCCGGCGAUGGUUCAUUCAAAUUUCUGCCCUAUCAACUUUCGAUGGUAGGAUAGUGGCCUACCAUGGUUUCGACGGGUACCGGUAAGCAUCUUCCCCCCUCUCCCUUUUCCAGCCUCACUCGGGCGGUUUUACUUGGCGGUGGAAGUACUAACAUAUCAUUCUUUUCAUAGGGGAAUUAGGGUUCGAUUCCGGAGAGGGAGCCUGAGAAACGUAAGUUAAAACCCCCCUCCCCGGGCUCAGUCUCGUGUUGGAUGAGGCGCUGACUUUUUGACAACAGGGCUACCACAUCCAAGGAAGGCAGCAGGCGCGCAAAUUACCCAAUCCCGAUACGGGGAGGUAGUAAGUGGUCCCUUUUCUCUCUCAAAACCAUUCACCAACUGACCAAACUAGGUGACAAUAAAUACUGAUCCAGGGCUCUUUUGGGUCUUGUAAUUGGAAUGAGUACAAUUUAAAUACCUUAACGAGGAACAAUUGGAGGGCAAGUCUGGUGCCAGCAGCCGCGGUAAUUCCAGCUCCAAUAGCGUAUAUUAAAGUUGUUGCAGUUAAAAAGCUCGUAGUUGAAAUUUGGGCCUGGCUGGUCGGUCCGCCUCACCGCGUGCACUGAGUCGGCCGGGCCUUUUCUCCUGGGGAGCCUCAUGCCCUUUACUGGGCGUGUUGGGGAACCAGGACUUUUACUUUGAAAAAAUUAGAGUGUUCAAAGCAGGCCUUUGCUCGGAUACAUUAGCAUGGAAUAAUAAAAUAGGACGUGCA
rnacentral:rRNA from 1 species